CGCUGCUGCAGCGGUGUGCCGGCUCACAGGGGACGCGGCAGGGACCCCAGUGCUGCAUCCUGGUGUAAAGGACAGACUGCGUUUCUCCACCUCCCAACCCUGCUGCACAACAGCAGCACUUGUGCCAGCAUCUGCAUUUGCAGCUGUUUUGUGCGCCUUCAGUAAACCGAGAGGGCAUAAAGCACCUUCAGGAACAGAAGUGAGCAGAACGUUCAGCACAUCCCUACUAAGUUGUAAGGGGAGGGGAUGGGGAGCAGCAGCGGGAUCCUCUCGAUGAGCGUGG
ensembl:lncRNA